CCAGGGAAGCCCCAAUGAUAUUGUCUUUAAUUAUUAUUGUAUUAACCACUGUUGCUGUGGUUUUUAUUACUGUAAUUAAUUUGAGGUAUAGCCAGGCAAGGGAGCAUCAACUUACAAAUAUUGGAGUCUGAACAAGAGCAUGUUAGCAGGUCAAUGAGGGAAUGAGGGCUCAGCUCUCGUAGAGCUCACGUUCAUACACAAGUAGGCAUCCUAACAGUGCUUCCAACCCAGUAUCUAAUGGUCCUGGGCACACUCUGCCUUAGGGCCCAACAGUGCUGAAACACAGCAAAGCUGGUGCUGAGCAGACAGCGGAUGGGUUGCCUCUGGCACAGCAUGCACUAAUAGAGAGCACUGGUAGGCUGAGAGGAGGGGGGAGCAGAGCAAGGAUGCAUUAAUGAUGAACAUCCUGCAGGAAGGGGAGAGAUCAGGGAGAGAUUAGCCAAACUGCUGAUUGUGCAUAGGGAGGCCAGCUGUGAGAGGCUAAUGGAACAUUAGGAGAUGACAGAAAUCCAAAGACAGCCAGCUGUUACCUGGGAUGAUGGUGUCGAGUCAUCAGAUUCCAAACCACCACACAACAGACAGCCACAUCUGGAGGUGGAGUUAUGGACCUCAGCCCUGCAGGGUUCGCUGAGAGGGCAGGUAACACAGGCACGUGGGGAUGACGCUGCAAGAGACAGUGUGCUAAUUCAUCAGGUACUGUGAUGCUUUGCCUCUUUCCCUUUCCUGAGUGACAGGAAUCCCAAAGGACAGAAAAUGAGCCACAGGACUUAUAAUAAAUAGUUUUCAGUUGUUCUGUUCACUCUAGUCACAUGCUCCAUGCCAAGACCUAAAGUCUUCAAUGUUGAUCCAGAAGGAAAAUGAAGAAGUUUCUCUUGUCCCCGAAAUCAGGGCAAAUUAUCAUAUGCUUUUCAACAAUUUAAAGAAACAAUUAUCAAACUUUUGCUUGCCCCUUUGGGACUGACUUGUCAGAUACCUCUACCCCAAGCAUGACCACCUUCAUUAGACACAGUAAGUAACAUUUGCUGCUUAUUGGCUACCAGCAUCUGUUUAUUCCUCCCUGUGAGACCAUAAACACCUUUUGAAGAAAUAUCUAGUUCAUACUGGAUUUAGUUCAUGAAAACCAUAUCCACUUGCCUGGCCCUCAGCUGAGUAAAGAACAGUAUGUGAUCAAAGCUAGAAAAAGCUUCCAAGAGUAAGACAGCAUCUGAAGAUGAAAGACUAAAUCAAUGCUGUGGCUGUGAAAACUUUUCAUGAUAAACACACUUGAUUCAGCCUUCCAAGUUACUUCCAGCCUUGAAAGUAAGGGCAAGGAAGAUGGAAAUCUCUAUUAGCAAUCAUUAGAUGUUCGAUAUCUGUGCUUACUACAAUAUCAGCCAUGAAACCGAAGACCAGUUUGGUAACGUGUGGCAUUGGAUUCAUGGCAGCUACUGAGUUGCCUCUCCAUCAAAGCCCAGGUGCCUGGGGAGGAUGAAAAAAAAAGCCAAAAGUGAAGAACAUAAGUGAGAAAGUAGAAACAUUUUAAGAAAACAUGUUACCCACCAUCUCCCCGGACUAUGGAACGUUUGGUUUUAUGUGAAUUCUUUUUUCCUCCCUUCCUUCUUUUCUUCUGUUUUGAAAAACUGAAAAUGAAACAGAA